GACGAACGCUGGCGGCGUGCCUAAUACAUGCAAGUAGGACGCAGUUGCGAACGGGUGAGUAACGCCUAGGUAACUGCCUAUUAGAGGGGGAUAACUAUUGGAAACGAUAGCUAAUACCGCAUACUAGUAGAUGGACCUGCGUUGUAUUAGCUAGUAGGUUGGGUAAUGGCCUACCUAGGCGACGAUACAUAGCCGACCUGAGAGGGUGAACGGCCCCACUGGGAAAGAGGAAAGGGCCAGACUCCUACGGGAGGCAGCCGUAGGGAAUCUUCGGCAAUGGGGGGAACCCUGACAGAGGAACGCCGCGUGAGUGAAGAGAGUAUUCGGAUCGUAAAACUCUGUUGUUAAGGAAGCGGUACUUAACCAGAAAGGGACGGCUAACUACGUGCCAGCAGCCGCGGUAAUUC
rnacentral:rRNA from 1 species